rnacentral:lncRNA from 1 species
AGACACCUACGCAGACGCGAAAGUGAAAGGGGGGCGACUGGGCCCGGCAGGCGGGCGGCCGGCGGCGCGCGGGCACGCGGCAGGGGACAGAGGAUGGAUGGGUGAACCCGGAUCCCGGGAUUCUCCCGCGCCCGCUGCCCCUCUGCGGAGCCUCCCCGGAGUCCCACGCCCCCACCCCGGCCACGGAGAUCACCACGUCAGGAGAUAUGUAUGCGUGUGCAUGUGUGUGCGCGCGUGUUCACGCGCGUGUGCGAGAUCUGGUCGUGCUUUACUUAUUAUGUGGUCCAUUAGGAACUGCUGUCUUUCUCCAUGAACUUACCUUCCUGAAUACCAUGAUGCUUUUAGGAAUGGGCACUUGGUUCAACCAGGACAAAUGGAAUCUUUCUCUUGAUUUUUUGGAGCUGAAGAACGAGGUAAAAGCCUUUUCCCCAUGGAUAGUGAGCCAGAAAUCUGCUGAAUCACUCCAGCCCCUGGGUAAAGAAAGCACAUUUUCAGGAGAAGAAAUUAAAACCAACCUAUACAGAGAAGCAGAGAUCAGAAACAGACAAUUCUGAUAGUAUUUGGACCCCUGGUUCUUUUUUCUGAGACCACUCCCAAAGCUUCCUUGCUUUCCAAAGCAUAUUUGUUAGAGCAUCUUCUGGUUCUUAUUGGAUAAGGUCCAAACUCUUGAGUCUGACAAUCUUGCAUUUCCAGCACCAGUCAGCCUUAUUUUGCUUCUAGCUUCCCAGUCAAGAGUUGCCUUCUACCAGAUGCCACGCUCAUUUUCAGUUGUGUGGUUUUCUUGAAUGACUUCUUGCCUCCUCUCUCUGUAAUACUAAUUAUUGCCUUUCUUCAGGGUCUAGUUCAACAUCUAUCUGCUCUAUUAAAGCCCUUCUUGAUUGAUCUUUUCCUUCUCUGAACUAUGGUAGCCUUUUUAUUCCCAGCUUUUCUACAUGGUCUGAAACAUAUUUAUCUUUCUGCCUUGGUUUCUUUUGCUAUGUAUUUUGUGUGUAAGAUUUUUUUUCGUGUGUUUAUUUACUUAAAAACUUGUACCAGUUAUCAGUUAUCUUGGGACAUAGUACUAACUAUAAAUGCAAUUAAAAGUCUGAGAAGAAAGAUAAUUGGAGAUUGGAAGUCAAAUAAGU